rnacentral:rRNA from 1 species
AUCCUGGCUUAGGAUGAACGCUGGCGGCGUGCUUAACACAUGCAAGUCGAACGAAGCACCUCUAAUCGAAGAUUGAGAAAGCUUGCUUUGAUGAUCACUGAGGUGACUGAGUGGCGGACGGGUGAGUAACGCGUGGGUAACCUACCCUAUACAGGGGGAUAACAGUUGGAAACGACUGCUAAUACCGCAUAAGCGCACAGGACCGCAUGGUCUAGUGUGAAAAACUCCGGUGGUAUAGGAUGGACCCGCGUCUGAUUAGCUAGUUGGUGAGGUAACGGCUCACCAAGGCGACGAUCAGUAGCCGACCUGAGAGGGUGACCGGCCACAUUGGGACUGAGACACGGCCCAAACUCCUACGGGAGGCAGCAGUGGGGAAUAUUGCACAAUGGGCGAAAGCCUGAAUGCAGCGACGCCGCGUGAACGAAGAAGUAUUUCGGUAUGUAAAGUUCUAUCAGCAGGGAAGAAAAAUGACGGUACCUGACUAAGAAGCUCCGGCUAAAUACGUGCCAGCCGCCGC